UACGGAGGGGGCUAGCGUUGUUCGGAAUUACUGGGCGUAAAGCGCGCGUAGGCGGACCUGCAAGUCAGGGGUGAAAUCCUGGAGCUCAACUCCAGAACUGCCUUUGAUACUGAAGAUCUUGAGUUCGGGAGAGGUGAGUGGAACUGCGAGUGUAGAGGUGAAAUUCGUAGAUAUUCGCAAGAACACCAGUGGCGAAGGCGGCUCACUGGCCCGAUACUGACGCUGAGGCACGAAAGCGUGGGGAGCAAACAGG
rnacentral:rRNA from 1 species